UGGUGACUAUAGCAAGGAGGUCACACCUGUUCCCAUGCCGAACACAGAAGUUAAGCUCCUUAGCGUCGAUGGUAGUYGR
rnacentral:rRNA from 1 species